UAGGGAAUAUUGCGCAAUGGAGGGAACUCUGACGCAGCGACGCCGCGUGAGCGAUGAAGGUCUUCGGAUCGUAAAGCUCUGUCCUUGGGGAAGAAGGGAGCCGUAAGGCUUCUUGACGGUACCCAUGGAGGAAGCCCCGGCUAACUACGUGCCAGCAGCCGCGGUAAUACGUAGGGGGCAAGCGUUGUCCGGAAUUAUUGGGCGUAAAGGGUGCGUAGGCGGCCCUUUAAGUCAGAUGUGAAAGCCCACGGCUUAACCGUGGGACUGCAUUUGAAACUGGAGGGCUUGAGUGUCGGAGAGGGCAGUGGAAUUCCCAGUGUAGCGGUGGAAUGCGUAGAUAUUGGGAGGAACACCAGUGGCGAAGGCGACUGCCUGGACGAUAACUGACGCUGAGGCACGAAAGCUAGGGGAGCAAACAGG
rnacentral:rRNA from 1 species